rnacentral:tRNA from 1 species
AGCCCUUUAGUGUAGCGGUCAAGCACGCUGGCCUCUGAAGCCGGCAACCCAGGUUCGAAUCCUGGAGGGGCUA